GAUGAACGCUGGCGGCGUGCCUAAUACAUGCAAGUCGAGCGAACAGAUGAGGAGCUUGCUCCUCUGACGUUAGCGGCGGACGGGUGAGUAACACGUGGAUAACCUACCUAUAAGACUGGGAUAACUUCGGGAAACCGGAGCUAAUACCGGAUAAUAUAUUGAACCGCAUGGUUCAAUAGUGAAAGACGGUUUUGCUGUCACUUAUAGAUGGAUCCGCGCCGCAUUAGCUAGUUGGUAAGGUAACGGCUUACCAAGGCGACGAUGCGUAGCCGACCUGAGAGGGUGAUCAGCCACACUGGAACUGAGACACGGUCCAGACUCCUACGGGAGGCAGCAGUAGGGAAUCUUCCGCAAUGGGCGAAAGCUUGACGGAGCAACGCCGCGUGAGUGAUGAAGGUCUUCGGAUCGUAAAACUCUGUUAUUAGGGAAGAACAAAUGUGUAAGUAACUAUGCACGUCUUGACGGUACCUAAUCAGAAAGCCACGGCUAACUACGUG
rnacentral:rRNA from 1 species